rnacentral:rRNA from 1 species
UGGGGAAUCUUCCGCAAUGGACGAAAGUCUGACGGAGCAACGCCGCGUGAGUGAUGACGGCCUUCGGGUUGUAAAGCUCUGUUAAUCGGGACGAAUGGUUCUUGUGCAAAUAGUGCGAGGAUUUGACGGUACCGGAAUAGAAAGCCACGGCUAACUACGUGCCAGCAGCCGCGGUAAUACGUAGGUGGCAAGCGUUGUCCGGAAUUAUUGGGCGUAAAGCGCGCGCAGGCGGAUUGGUCAGUCUGUCUUAAAAGUUCGGGGCUUAACCCCGUGAUGGGAUGGAAACUGCCAAUCUAGAGUAUCGGAGAGGAAAGUGGAAUUCCUAGUGUAGCGGUGAAAGGCGUAGAUAUUAGGAAGAACACCAGUGGCGAAGGCGACUUUCUGGACGAAAACUGACGCUGAGGCGCGAAAGCCAGGGGAGCGAACGGG